CCUAGUCACACCUCCCUGCAUGUGACUUGCACAGCCUUCCAUAAACACUUCCUGUAAAGAGAGCCCUAUUUAGGCUUUUAUUGCAAGUUCUGUUUAAUUAAGAUUUUCUUAUCCCCUGCUAUGUUAAUAGCUUGCUAGACCCUGCAAGAGCCUCCUGUAUGUAAUUAAAGUUCAAUUUAGAGAUUGAGAUACAAUUAUUUAAGGUAAAUUACAUCUGUUUGAAAGUGAAACCAGUUUUUUUUU